CAUCUCUAAGCAGAAGUCAGUAUAGAAGUGUACACAUCUAAGUAAUUUUUUAAUGCAGUUAAAUUCUAUCAUAAAAACUAGGUGGUGUCCCCUAUCAUAUUUUCUUAUUUUAACCACUUGAAGUUGUGGGAUUUUAAGAUGACUUAGAGCCAGGGAAGACUAUUUUCUUUUGUUAUUGGUAUCUCUUCAGUCUGUUGACAACUAAGGAAAGCAAAAAAGUUUGCUGAUCUCUGCUCUAGAAUAUCAAGGUGUGAGAAUAAGUUUGGGCAACUGGGAAGAUAAUUAAUUGAAGCCUCAUGAAGAUUGUGUUGAGAAUCAAGACCACCUGUGGCAGUACAACUUAGAUGACAGUAGACCAUAUAUGUCAGCAUGACUUAGUUGUUUUUUUACUGAAAAACUUUGCCCAGAAAAGCCAA